rnacentral:rRNA from 1 species
UACGUAGGGUGCAAGCGUUGUCCGGAAUUACUGGGCGUAAAGCGCGCGCAGGCGGCCUUUUAAGUCUCGUGGUGAAAUGCCGGGGCUCAACCCCGUGCCCGCCGGAGAUACUGGGAGGCUGGAGACAUGUAGAGGCAAGCGGAAUUCCGGGUGUAGCGGUGGAAUGCGUAGAGAUCCGGAAGAACACCGGAGGCGAAGGCGGCUUGCUGGGCAUUGUCUGACGCUGAGGCGCGAAAGCGUGGGGAGCGAACAGG